UUCCGGUUGAUCCUGCCGGACCCGACUGCUAUUUGGGUGAGGAUAAGCCAUGCGAGUUGAAUGGGAUACCUAAAUUUCCCAUGGCAAACUGCUCAGUAACACAUGAUCAACUUACCCUAUAGAGAAAAAUAACCUCGGGAAACUGAGGAUAAUGUUUCAUAGUUGAAUAGGCUUGGAAAAGUUUUUCAAUAAAAGGGAUAAAAAAAAUGGUUUUUAUCUGCUAUAGGAUAGGAUCGUGGACGAUUAUGGUUGUUGGUGAGGUAACGGCUCACCAAGCCGAUAAUCGAUAGGGGCCGUGAGAGCGGGAGCCCCGAGAUGGGUACUGAGACAACGACCCAGGCCUUACGAGGCGCAGCAGGCGCGGAACCUCCGCAAUACACGAAAGUGUGACGGGGUUACCCAAAGUGUUCAAUUCUGAACUGUGGUAGGUGAGUAAUGUUCCCUACUAGAAAGGAGAGGGCAAGGCUGGUGCCAGCCGCCGCGGUAAAACCAGCUCUUCAAGUGGUCGGGAUAAUUAUUGGGCUUAAAGUGUCCGUAGCCGGUUUAGUAAGUUCCUGGUAAAAUCGGGUAGCUUAACUAUCCAUAUGCUAGGAAUACUGCUAUACUAGAGGGCGGGAGAGGUCUGAGGUACUACAGGGGUAGGGGUGAAAUCUUAUAAUCCCGAGAGGACCACCAGUGGCGAAGGCUGUCGGCUAGCACGCGCCUGACGGUGAGGGACGAAAGCUGGGGGAGCGAACCGGAUUAGAUACCCGGGUAGUCCCUGCUGUAAACGAUGCGAGCUAGGUGUUGGGGCGGCUACGAGCCGCUUCAGUGCCGCAGCGAAAGCGUUAAGCUCGCCGCCUGGGGAGUACGGCCGCAAGGCUGAACUUAAAGGAAUUGGCGGGGAGCACCACAAGCGUGAAGCUUGCGUUCAUUGGACUCAAC
rnacentral:rRNA from 1 species